ensembl:lncRNA
ACCUGACCAGCCGUCUUGAUCUACUCUAUUCUAGGCAAUGAUUAAAUCUGCUCGCUGACAAUUUGUUGAAUUCAACUUACAACCAAUCCAAAACAAGGGGCAUUGUGAACACAGUACAAACAUCUUUGAAUAGAUUCAGUUCGAAACACACACCAAAGUGUCAAAAAUGUCUGCCUCAUUUUGGAUGUAUAAUUUGUCGCAUAGAACUGGUUUCAUUGUGAAUAUGCUUAAACAUGUCUUCAACACACAUUUCUCUGAAUGUGAGGUUUGGUUGGGCAGGCUGAUGCACGCUAUUAUUUCUUUCUGAACUAUGCAUGCACUGGGAAAUUAUCUUGAAGGAAAAUAUAGGAAAUUAUAUAUAAAACACAAAUUUACUACACUCAAUAACAAGAACAUUUAACUAGCAAGAUUGUAAUUAACAGAACUUUCAUUAUCAACAAUGCAACAUUAUACUACUCAAAAAUAUGUUUCUGUAUUUAUACACCGGACCUGAUUCGGCUUUUCAAUAUACAGUAUAAAAGCAGAGAUAUCAUUACAAAAAAAAGGAAAGGAGUGAAUUGCAUAUGUCACGUUAAGGUAAAGAGACAGAAGAAUGAUGUUGGCGUUGGUGCUUCUUAGUAAAAAACAAAAUACCUGCUGCAUUAUGGGGCUCUGAUGGUCAUGUCACUAAGAUGGUCAAGUAUUUGACAAUCAAAAAUUAUUUUAACGAAUAGAAUGAACAUUUCAUGCAUUUUUAACACAAAAUAAACCAUGGUCAUGUUUGUACAGAUAACAUUUUGGUCAGGUAGCCUGUAUCUGAACACUGGUCCAUUCUGGUUCACAAGACUGACAAUAGAGAGAAAUAGUUUAUGUAAUUAUUUUCUGAAUGACUCAUGUUAUUUUCAAGUAAUUUAUCUAAUUGAUGUAAAUUCAAUUAAAGAUGGCUCUAGUAAAACACAAUAAGCAGGUUGGAAGAUAAGAGGUAAUAUUUGUUUUGUUCUAAAUGACAUCAGUUUCAUUUCCACCGCUGCUAUAAUGAGCUACCAAAGCAGCAGCCCACUGUGGUAAACGUAAAACAGAAAAAAAAAGAAUAUUUACAGUCACACAUUCAGUCAGGUCUGCAUGCAGAACAUCAGCAUGAACCACCUCAUGCACUCAAGCACACACACUUAAAGCAUGCUCUAAAGGUCCUGAGUCCUCCGAGACAAAACAGUAGCAUAAGACCAUAUCAUCCAAAUACAUCUAUGCAAGGAGUUUUUUGUAUUUCCUUCAUCAAAGUCUGUCAUUAUUUGUCAUGAGGUAUUAAUGCACCUCAGUAAUGAAAAUAAUUCAGUUAUGUGCAUCUUGACACAUUUGGGGAAAUCCAAAAACGUCAACCAUAAUCGCAAGUGUAAACAAGAGUUGUUAACCCACUGAAAGGCUCCUGACCAAAUUUGUUGUAAAUAAAGAUAAAUGCUAC